rnacentral:rRNA from 1 species
UCGUGGAGUGAUUUGUCUGGUUGAUUCCGGUAACGAACGAGAUCUUGACCGUUCAAUGACAGAUUGAUCGUUAUGUAGUUUGACUUUACAUGCGCUUGCGUAUCGUACUGUUAACGAGAUCUACCCUUGUACUCAACGGGACUACGUGUGCUGACAACACGUGGAAGUGCAAGCCAAUAGCG